UGGUAUCGUUCUUUAAUCAACA
rnacentral:miRNA from 1 species